GCAAGGAACAAGUAGCGCGCUCCAGCGAUUACCUCGAUGGUCAAUUGACCUUUCGUGAGCGCCUGAUGGUGCGCCAUCACCUGAUGUUCUGCCCCAACUGCCGGCGUUUUAUCCGCCAGAUGCGCCUGAUGCAGGCGACGCUCAAGCGUCUUCCCCAACCCCCCAUUCCCGAUCUGGAUCACCUCGCCGAAAAGCUUGCCGCCGAGCGUCGCCGAAACAUCCGCUGAGUCCUGAGAGCCCCUGUGGGAGCGAGCU
rnacentral:sRNA from 7 species